rnacentral:rRNA from 1 species
CCUACGGGUGGCAGCAGUGAGGAAUAUUGGUCAAUGGACGGAAGUCUGAACCAGCCAUGCCGCGUGCAGGAAGACGGCUCUAUGAGUUGUAAACUGCUUUUGUACAAGGGUAAACCUGAAUACGUGUAUUCAGCUGAAAGUACUGUACGAAUAAGGAUCGGCUAACUCCGUGCCAGCAGCCGCGGUAAUACGGAGGAUCCAAGCGUUAUCCGGAUUGAUUGGGUUUAAAGGGUGCGUAGGCGGGUUGAUAAGUUAGAGGUGAAAUGUCCGAGCUUAACUCGGGAACUGCCUCUAAUACUGUUGAUCGAGAGAGUAGAUGCGGUAGGCGGAAUGUAUGGUGGAGCGGUGAAAUGCUUAGAGAUCAUACAGAACACCGAUUGCGAAGGCAGCUUACCAAUCUAUAUCUGACGUUGAGGCACGAAAGCGUGGGGAGCAAACAGGAUUAGAUACCCGAGUAGUC